GACUGGUUCAAGUGGUGUUUACAACUAAUUGAUCACAACCAGUUACGGAUUUCUUUGUUCCUUCUCCACUCUCACUGCUUCACUUGACUAGCCUUAA
rnacentral:Y_RNA from 1 species